AGUCACGACGCAUAUCAAUAAGCGGAGGAAAAGAAACCAACAGGGAUUGCCCCAGUAACGGCGAGUGAAGCGGCAACAGCUCAAAUUUGAAAUCUGGCUCUCGGGCCCGAGUUGUAAUUUGUAGAGGAUGCUUUUGGUGAGGUGCCUUCCGAGUUCCCUGGAACGGGACGCCAUAGAGGGUGAGAGCCCCGUCUGGUUGGACACCGAUCCUCUGUAAAGCUCCUUCGACGAGUCGAGUAGUUUGGGAAUGCUGCUCUAAAUGGGAGGUAUAUGUCUUCUAAAGCUAAAUACCGGCCAGAGACCGAUAGCGCACAAGUAGAGUGAUCGAAAGAUGAAAAGAACUUUGAAAAGAGAGUUAAACAGUACGUGAAAUUGUUGAAAGGGAAGCGCUUGUGACCAGACUUGGGCUUGGUUGAUCAUCCGGGGUUCUCCCCGGUGCACUCUUCCGGCUCAGGCCAGCAUCAGUUCGCCCUGGGGGAUAAAGGCUUCGGGAAUGUGGCUCUCUCCGGGGAGUGUUAUAGCCCGCUGCGUAAUACCCUGUGGCGGACUGAGGUUCGCGCAUUCGCAAGGAUGCUGGCGUAAUGGUCAUCA
rnacentral:rRNA from 1 species